UGAAAAGCAAUGAAAAGAAGAGUAGAUAGAAUAGUUCAUUUUCAGAGAGCUCUAGAUGGUGGGAUUGAGCAAUGGAUUUUUAUUGAAGAAGGUCUUGGAGCUGCACACUGAGUCUAUUUUCAUAGAGGUAGGAUGUGACGGAAUACCCCGUUAUAGGUAUAGAGUAUCUCACAUUUUUUGAUGUACUUGAAGAGGUGUAUACGGCAACGCAUACAUAAACUGAGGUGGUACCACGAAUUUAUAACUUUCGUCCUCAAG
rnacentral:ncRNA from 1 species